UGGAGGAAACUCUGAUGCAGCGACGCCGCGUGAGCGAUGAAGCCCUUCGGGGUGUAAAGCUCUUUCGACGGGAACGAUAAUGACGGUACCCGAAGAAGAAGCUGCGGCUAACUACGUGCCAGCAGCCGCGGUAAUACGUAGGCAGCAAGCGUUGUUCGGAAUUACUGGGCGUAAAGAGUGUGUAGGCGGUGUUCUAAGUUUGUCGUGAAAUCUCCCGGCUUAACUGGGAGGGUGCGGCGAAAACUGGAAUGCUAGAGGAUGGGAGAGGUAAGCGGAAUUCCUGGUGUAGCGGUGAAAUGCGUAGAUAUCAGGAGGAACACCUGUGGUGUAGACAGCUUACUGGACCAUUUCUGACGCUGAGACACGAAAGCGUGGGUAGCAAACAGGAUUAGAUACCCUGGUAGUCCACGCCCUAAACGAUGCAUACUUGGUGUGAGCGAUUCAUUUCGUUCGUGCCGGAGCUAACGCGUUAAGUAUGCCGCCUGGGGAGUA
rnacentral:rRNA from 1 species